AUCAGGACGUGUACAUACAUUUUUCUCCUGGGUUUUCAGGAAAUUCCCGUGUGUCCUCGUGGCCGGGUGGUUCUCCGUCGUGUGAAAGUGAGGUCGCUCGUUUACACAUCCUCCCGUGGGUGGACGUGUGGUCGUCUCCCGUUUGCGGCUGUUAUCCCUGCCAACGUCCUUGUAUACACGUCUCCCGGGCCACUCCCACGGGUUCUUUCUUACCUAGGAGCGGGGUUGCGGCGGCUCGAAGCAGGUCAUUGUCGGUCCGCGCCCUGCGGUCUGGCUGGACCCCGCCGCUCGCCGCCUGGCCCCGUGGCUCCCUGGCCCCGUGGCUCCCUGAGCCAGAAUCGCGGCGCCGGCCUGGCCCCGCCCUCCCCUCGUGGCUGCCCGGACUUCCGGGCAGCAUGGCGGCCUGGGGCGGCCCGGCUAUCGAGAGCCAGAGCGGAACUGCCACGCUUCUUUCAAACGCACAAACAAAACCUGUGCUUUUCACGGCUCGCACAUCGCUCAGACCCACAGAGAAGACGGACGCCGCCCUCAGACUGGGACGAUUCCGGAGGAUUUGUUUCCAAGAGCGGAGGCGGAGACCUGAGCCAGGACCGAAGCAGCUGUCUCCGAACCCAGAGAGUUGGAGAAGGGUGGGAUACUGGAGUCUGGAAUGAGAGGAUCACGCAGCGGCCUUGGGAGGCCACGAUGGCAGGACAAGAGACACCGCCAGGCCAGGCGACCUCACCAGGUGGGAGUCAGGGAAGAAAUGUCCUGACCCCACCCUCCUCACUCCCUCCAGUCUCUCGCCAGGGACUUUUGUUGACCAAACCCAACCAGGAGCCAGAGGCAGGGACCCCGCUGGUGUGGCCCUUACGCGGCAGCCUCCUAGAGCCCAGAGCAGACUGGAGGGGGCAGAAGGGCCAACCCAGGAAGACAUUCCGUGUAGUCUGAGGAUGAGCCCACCACAGUUAUCCUGUCGGUGGCUUCUGAGAUGUCUGGGCCUCUAGAGCUGGAAGAAAUCUCCCUGGAGGCUUCUUGGUUUUUGGGAGGAAGCAAGGGGCCCCACUGAGCAUCCAAAGAAAUCCAAGUGUUCCUCCUCCCAGCAUUAGGCCCAUCCAUCUCUUCCAAUUCCGAGUAGUAGAAACACCACUAGAACAGCUUUCUGCCAGAAAGGGAAUGCACGGGCUCAUGGAGCAGGUGUCAGGUAAGGCUAGAUCCAGGGUCCUAACACGGUCUGGGCUUUGCCUCUCUGUUCCAUCUCUGUUGUGCUUGUCAUCCUGACCCUCCUUCUGCCCAUCAGCGCUUGGCACAUGGCAGACAGCGCAAUCCUAGCUUCCCAAGUCAGGAGGCCCUUCGGGAGAAGCCUACCAGUACGAUCCAGCCGAAGUUCUGAGGCAGGCUCGGGGGGGCCAUGCUCAAGCCAUAUGCCCAUCCCCGACCAACCACCGCAUUCCCGUGGAUGCCGUCCCAUGACUGGCCUCCUGGUUCGUGCCUGACAGCCCCACCUCCCCAA
rnacentral:lncRNA from 1 species